ensembl:lncRNA
CCCAAACCCAAACCCGGUGUCUCAGAGCGGCGUCCCAGCGCUCCCUGUGAACAGCUGUGUGGCCAGGCGGCCUCCCCUCAGCCUGCUCUGCGCCCAGCAAACCCGGGGACAUUGCUGCUCCUCACACCCCUUGCCCUCCAGACACGUCAUCUCCACAGCUCACCUUUGGAUGCACCGUGACAGUUUUGUGUCCUUCCACUGCGGCAUCCAAAACAGCACGCAAUGAUGGCAGUGGUGACUGGUGGUGAUGGUGACGGUGAUUGUGGCCCCCACAGCCUGGCCCUCACAGGCUCCUUGCGCUGCCACGCUGGACUGUCCCCUCAGGAGAUGGCACCUGUCCCUGUGUGGUGUCUCCUGAAGGUCAAAGGACGGGUACUCCUCACUCUCCAUAGAACCCUAGAAUCAUUAAGGCUGGAUAAGACCUCUGAGAUCAUCAAGUCCAACCAUCACCCUCUCACCACUGUGCCCACUAAACCAUGGCCCUCAGUGCCACACCUACGCACAUCUAAAAUGGCCGUGCAAGGAGAUCCUGCCGAAGCCAGGACUGUGUGAGCAGAUCAUGCGUUCGAGGCCAUGGGGUGCCCAGGUGGCUCUGAGCAUCUGUUACGUUUCCACACUGAGAACUUGAACAGCUGCUGCUGCAGCAGCGCCAAAGCCUGGGCCAGGGUGCACCCAGCCCAGCGCAGCAGCACUGAAAUGCAGCUAAGUUCAGGUCCACCCUCUGCAGGGGUCUGGCUGAGCAGAGACAGUUGUCUAGAUGCUGUACAUGAUACCCUGUCUAGCACUAGAAAACGCCUGCGUAGCUGCAGGGUUUCUUUUUUAAGACGUCAUUUCUCCAGGAUACACUGAUUGACUGUAGCAUUGAAUAAGCAGUGACUGAAGAGCUGUCCUCUGUGUGAACUCUGCUGGUUUGGUUUUGUCAUCAUGAAAUAGAACACAUGGACGCCCUGCCACAUAGACUCAUAGAAUCAUAGAAUGGCCUGGGUUGAAAAGGACCACAAUGAUCAUCGAGUUUCAACCCCCCUGCUAUGUGCAGGGUCGCCAACCACCAGACCAGGCUGCCCAGAGCCACAUCCAGCCUGGCCUUGAAUGCCUCCAGGGAUGGGGCAUCCACAACCUCCUUGGGCAACCUGUUCCAGUGCGUCACCACCCCCUCUGUGAAAAACUUCUUCCUAAUAUCCAACCUAAACCUCCCCUGUCCCAGUUUAAAACCAUUUCCCCUUGUCCUAUCACUAUCCACCCUCAUAAACAACCGUUCAGAGUUUCUGUUUCCAUCUUGGAACAACAUGCCUUUUCCAUCUUCCUGCCUCACCAUGCAUUCUGGUGUCAGCGUAGAUAGUUCUGUUUGUUUCUUACUCUUGUAAGUUACUCACAUUGCAAUUGUUUUGCACUGCACCACUCAUUUCCUUAUCUUCAUUUUUUUCCCCCUGAAUAAAUGAACAUUAAAUGCAGUAAGCUUAAAUUAACUUUUUCUUUUUUUUUUCAGGGAAGACAACUUUACUGUAUUGUCAGCAUUUUAUGAUUUCCUUUGCAGAAACAUCUGAUUUGUUCCAGGAAAUCACAUGCAGAUACAGCGCUUCCCUUCACAGCAACCAGAUGCAUGUUUUGAAUUGACACAGGCAGUUUAUCCAUAUUCCUGGACUGCUAAGCACUACUUUCAGCAACUCUCAGGGCUAGAACUCAUUCCCUGGGAAAUUUCUUUCCUGAUGAAUCUUCAAGAUUUACCAGCAGGAGUGCAGAUCUGAGAUAAAACGACCCAUCUUUGCUUCUUUCAGAUGGCAGAGACCAGCUUCUGAUACUGAAGUUUCACUAAAACCAAUGGCAGCAAUGUGAAUGUGCACCCAUUGAGAAAUUGGCCCCAGUCACGUGUUUCCUGAAAUCAUCUGCUUAGAAUAAAG